rnacentral:rRNA from 1 species
CCUACGGGUGGCUGCAGUCGAGAAUCAUUCACAAUGGGGGAAACCCUGAUGGUGCGACGCCGCGUGGGGGAAUGAAGGUCUUCGGAUUGUAAACUCCUGUCAUGUGGGAGCAAAUUAAAAAGAUAGUACCACAAGAGGAAGAGACGGCAAACUCUGUGCCAGCAGCCGCGGUAAUACAGAGGUCUCAAGCGUUGUUCGGAAUCACUGGGCGUAAAGCGUGCGUAGGCGGUUUCGUAAGUCGUGGGUGAAAUGCGCGGGCUCAACCCGCGGACGGCACAUGAUACUGCGAGACUGGAGUAAUGGAGAGGGAAGCGGAAUUCUCGGUGUAGGAGUGAAAUGCGUAGAUAUCGGGAGGAACACUAGUGGCGAAGGCGAGUACCUGGACAUUAACUGACGCUGAGGCGCGAAGGCCAGGGGAGCGAAAGGGAUUAGAUACCCGGGUAGUC